CUGAGCCGCUGCUGCAGCCCCUCCAUGGCUCUCAAUCGGAUUGUGAGGGCAGCGCCUGGGACUUGCCGGACUCUCUGUCCUCCGGGCUCUUUCAGGACCCGUCCCCUUCAAUCUCUCCGUGCCCCCUUCUCAUACUCAUGGGUCCCUCCAGUCCUCGUAGGGUCUCCUUCCUACAUUUCCGUCAAACUUCUCGAAAUCACAUCCGCUACCUGCAGCUUCUCACCGUCCCCCUGCACUCUGCCUCUUGCCAUCUGGUGUCCACCUAGAACUCAGUAGAAAUUGCUGGGGAGGGAAGAGAUGGGAAGGACAUCUUCUUUCAAGAGCCAGUUCCUCCUCCACCAUCUGGACACACCCAGGGUGCUUGACACCUGGAGGAUAAACAUCUUCCAGCCUGGACUCCCAGGACUCCAGGACCAUGAGCUUCCUGCUGGGGCAGCCAGAGGCCCAGCUGUCCAGACCCAGGGGUCUUCUUCAGCUCCCCUGAGACCCCUGUUCAGCACUGUCACCUGAAGACUUGGCUGUGCACUGCUGAUGGCCCCCUGCGCCAUCUUGUUUCUCUCUGAGGUGCCCCAGCAACUCUGCAAAUGACCCAGCAGGACCAACUUCCUGGUCCCAAGGCUGUUGGAUGGAGCUUAGGAGAGAGGGUAGAUGGAGCAUCGCUCAUCUGGACACCUCAGAAGGGGCAGACAGCAGCACGCAGAGUGCCAAAGGGGAAGAGAUGCGGAGCAAAGAACUGGAAACUUCUCAGGCAUUCACAUUGGCAACUCCUGUUCCAAGAAUAAUUAUUUAUGACAGAUUUCAAUUUUCGGGGCAGGGAUGGUGUCUUACUCAUCCUGGGCUUCAGGACAUCUGUGUAACAGACGCUCCAGGUGAAGCAGUGAUGUCAACCCUGGCUGAACACUGGAAUCACCUGGGAAGAUCAAAAAGCAACACCUCCUGCAUCUAGGUGAAAACCCAAAGCAGGCUGGUUCUUCUUGCCGGCUUCCUCCCAGACCCGUGCCUGGCCGGGGAGGGGCCACACUUGGAGAAUUCCUGCUAUAGAUGGGUCAACAUCCGGGAGUGGUGUUUCUCUCAGGACAGAAUGAGCUAAAGGAGAGAAACUCUACCUGAGAAAAACAGGAAAAGAGGAAACUUGAGACAACUCAGAGCUUGGGUUCCUUUAGUAGCAGUACUCUUUUGUUUCUCAGGUCGAUCAGCUACAGUGUGGCAAAUACAAAGCAAAAAAAAAAAAUUCACUUCUGUGAAUUGUGCUGUGAUGAACACACCAUGCAUGCGUCUUUACAGUAGAACAAUGAAUAUUCCUUUGGGUAUAUGCCCAAUAAUAGGAUUGCUGGGUCGAACGGUAAUUCUGCUUUAAGUUCUUUGAGAAAUUGCCAAACUGCUUUCCACAAUGGCUGAACUAAUUUACGUUCCCUUUUCUCUACAACCUUGCCAGCAUCUGUUAUUUUUUUUUGACUUUUUAAUAAUAGCCAUUCUGACUAGUGUGAGAUGGUAUCUCACUGUGGUUUUGAUUUGCAUUUAUCUAAUAAUUAGUGAUGUUGAACAUUUUCAUAUGCUUGUUGGCCACGUGUAUGUUUUCUUUUGAACAGUGUCUGUUAAUCAAGCUAAAUGUCCAUUAACGGUAGAUUGGAUAAAGAAAAUGUUGUGCAUAUACACCAUGGAACAUUACGCAACCAUAAAAAAGGACGAGGUUGUGUCCUUUGCAGCAACAUGGAUGGACCUGGAGGCCAUAAUCCUACGAGAACUAACACAGGAACAGAAAAGCAAAUACCGUGUGUUCUCACUUAUAAGUGGGAGCUAAACAUUGAGUAUACACAGACAAAAAGAAGAGAACAACAGACACUAGAGUCUACUUGAGGGUGGAGGAAAGGAGGAGGAUGAGGACAGAAAAACUAUUGGGUACUAUGCCUAUUACCUGGGUGGUGAAAUAAUCUGCACACCAAACCCCUGUGACAUGCAAUUUACCCAUGUAACAAGCCUAUACAUGUAUCCCUGAACCUAAAAUAAACGUUAAAAACAAAAACAAAGAAGGAAAAACCCUUUGCUUAUUGGUGCACUGGGCCUUUUUACCAGUGGAGGCUUUCAACCUGUCUCAUCUGGGAGUUACCUGGGAGUCACCUGGGAGGUGAAAAUCCUGAGGCCUGGGUCCCCCAGGGAUUGGGACCUGAGCAGUAAGCACUUCCAUUACUAAGCCUGUCAGUCCACAGGAGUCACCUGCAGCCUCCAGGCCAGAGGGCUGACCACUAGGCUGAGGGGCACGUCUUGUCCUCCAGUUCUACUUGGACUGGGCUGCUGAUGGGAUCACAUGCAACCACCCAUGGCUAAGGCAGCCUUUGAGAAUCACCUUGAAGACACACUCCCACCCACUCCUGGGGCAGCAGUCUUUAGAUCUUUACUUAUAGAAUUUCUAAAGUGUUUUGAAAGACCACGGCCCUUUUGUACUUUUAAAGCUGAUAUCUAAACACUUCUAUCAUACAUUUAAUUAGUCAAGUAGGGAAUCAGCGUAAUUUGAAUAUUGACAUUUUAAACAAAAUUCACAUCAUCUUUAAAAUGUAUCCAAUGGAAUCUAACUAGCACAGCAAUCUGACGUCAGCCGCUAGUCGUUUAAAAAGCGUGAAAACCAGCUCUCUGACAGAAAUUUUAUGGGAAUGCUUUUCUCCGUGAAUUUGCAUUUCUAUUCUAUGGCCUCUACUGAUUUUAUCUAAAUGUAAUACAUUAAAUAUUGACAACGUUGAACUUUAUCUGGAGGUUAGGAAAUCCUCUUACCCUUUUGUGUUCCAGAAAAUGGUUUACUGCAAGGAAUGACCUUCCCAUGUGAUGUAGAUGCAAGUCACCGAUGGUCCAUGUUGACCUAGGACAAGGCCAGUGUGAGGCCUUCCAGGUUUCUAUUCUUUGGCCAUCAGUGAUUGGCUGAGUUGCUCUGCCCACUGAUCAAUCAGAACAAAAUCCUCAUUAACCAAACUUUGGUUAAGCUUCUUUCCUUCCCUGGGCUCCUAAACUUGGACUGCCCUCAGCCUGCGCCUGCAGGCAGCCCCUUCUGAGAAGAGGCCGGCCUCAGGUCAAACCUUCUUUGACCAUGUGCCUCCCAUCCAUGUCACUGCCCCAGACUCUGCUCUUCCUAGUUUUGUUUACUCCUCUCUACAAAAGAGAGGAGUGCCUACCUCUUCAGAUACUUGCAGGUCUCAUGGUUGGAGAAUAACUGCUUCCAAUUCCCAAUUGUAAUUCCCAAUUACAAUAGUUUCCUUCCCGCUUUGUAACAAUAUCCUACCCCAUUGCAAUGGCUUCCCUCCCGGUUUGCAGUAAGUCCUCCUCCUCCAUUGAAAUAGUCCUCCUGGGCCGGGUGCGGUAGUUCAGGCCUGUAAUCCCAGCACUUUGGGAGGCCGAGGUGGGCAGAUUACGAGGUGCAGAGAUGGAGACCAUCCUGGCUAACACGGCGAAACCCCGUCUCUACUAAAAAUACAAAACAAAAUUAGCCGGGCAUGCUGGUGGGUGCCUGUAGUCCCAGCUACUUGGGAUGCUGAGGCAGGAUUAUGGCUUGAACCCAGGAGGCGGACCUUGCAGUGAGCCGAGAUCGUGCCACUGCAGUCCAGCCUGGGCAACAGAGCAAGGCUCCGUCUCAAAAAAAAAAAAAAAAAAAAAAAAAAAAGGAAAUAGUCCUCCUCCCCCAUUGAAAUAGUCCCCCUGUCCCUAUUGUAAUAAUCCCCCUUCGCAUUUGCAAUAGUCCUCCUUCCCCAUUGCAAUAGUCCUCCUCCCCCAUUGCAACAGGUCGUCCUUCCCCAUUGCAAUAGGUCCUCCUUCUCUGUUGAAAUAGUUCUCCUCUCCCAUUGAAAUAGUUCCCUUGUCCCUAUUGUAAUAAUCCCCAUCCCCCAUUGCAAUAGGUCCUCCUCCUCCAUUGCAAUAGUCCUCCUUCCCCAUUGAAAUAGUACCUCUGUCUCUACUGUAAUGAUCCCUGUCCCCCAUUGCAAUAGUCCUCCUGUCCCUAUUGAAAUAGUCCCCCUGUCCCUAUUGUAAUAAUCUCCCUUCCCCAUUGCAAUAGUCCUCCUGUCCCUAUUGAAAUAGUCCCCCUGUCCCUAUUGUAAUAAUCUCCCUUCCCCAUUGCAAUAGUCCUCCUGUCCCUAUUGAAAUAGUCCCCCUGUCCCGAUUGUAAUAAUCUCCCUUCCCCAUUGCAAUGGUCCUCCUCCCCCAUUGCAGCAGCUCUCUCGCCCAUUGCAGUAGGUCCUCCUCCCCCACUGCAAUAGUCCCCUGUCCCUAUUGUAAUAGUCCCUCUUCCCCAUUGCAAUAGUCCCUUUCUUUCUGUUUGAAUAUCUUAUCCAGUAAAGUUUCUCCUAAGUCCAAAUUUAUUUAACAACAUUUAUUUAUGUCUUUUUUGGAUUAACUUGUCAUACUCCCCUAGAAGAAAAUGCAAAUUUAAAACUAUCUGAGGCAUAGGGCCCUGAUAACUCCUGAAUUGGAGUUAUCAUCUCAAUGAUUAAUGCACGGCUGGUGACAACAAUAAGUAUAGCAUAGAUAUUGUUACAAUUGUAACUUCUGUGUUUAAUAGCAUCUACCAGAAAAGGAUCUGUUCAUGAGGUGGCAGGAUUUGAGAACUCAUACCCCUCCACACAAACACACCCAGACACAGACACAGACACGGACACACACAGACACAGACACAGACACAGACAUGGACACACACAGACACAGACGUGAACAGACACAGACA
rnacentral:lncRNA from 10 species